rnacentral:lncRNA from 7 species
CAGAUGCUGCAUCAGCGAAAGCACACAGACAAAUGAGGCUGGCCAUGGAGUCACACCAGCCUCAGCAGGACCUGUACAGAUCAGCUGUGAUCACCAGGGUUGCACAACCUUCCACAAGUGAGAAGUGGACUCUGGACAGCGAGAUAUGCAUUACAAGAUAAAGCUGUCCUGCUAUGCCACAGCAUUACAGAGUAUUAACCAUGGGAGAAAAGACAUUUGGGAAAGGCAAUGAAUUGUCAAGACUGAAGAUUAGAUUCAAGAAACAGCAGUAUAAAUAAGACAACUGCAAAUCUCCCCACUCAGAGUGCAUCCCCAUGAGCCUUCUUGUAGGAUUGCAGAAUAUGUCAGCUCAGGGCAGGAUUGCGCUUUGGAAGUGGACCUCCCAUCAGCCCUGCUCAGCAUGCCUGGUUCACAGGUCAAGGCAGGAGGAGCUGAGGACAGCCCCAGGCAGCGGUCACCUCCAUAGAGAUGGAGACAGAACAAAGUGGAGCUGGAGAACUUGAGCAAAUGCCCACAGAAAGCUGCGUAGCCUUGUGAUGUGCCCCACUUUAGGUGCCUUUUGUGUCACUGAAGCCAUUUCGAGAACCGGAGGAGACCCACAUAGUGUGAGAUGGCAGCCAGGGGACCUCUCGUGGGAGCCACCUGCUGAGCAUGGCCUCAUCCAGCCCUUCCUGCAACUGGUCCCUUGGGUCUCGCUAAGAGGGAGUACUUCAGCAAAAGGCAUUUCCAGGAACGACGUUUUCCAGAGCUAAAGUCAUUUCUCUGAUCCAAGAGUUAAAAUUCUUCACUAAUUCCUGGAAAGUGCUUCAGUCUGAAAGAUCCUGGUGGUACUCACAGGGGCAAGAAAACACUCAUGGUGGAGGUUGUGCAAAACAAACAAAGACCCGGAAAAGUUUAAAAUUCAGGAGUUUGAAAUCCUGGGUAUUCCUGGCAUGUAGUAAAAAUGCCCUGACAGGGCUUCUUGCGAAAGUGUUUGUGAAACUUUGGGUAAACUUAGGCCGUUUGACUCUUUUGGUUGGAAGUAAUACAAAACUCUGUGGUUCUUCCUUUUCAUCUGCCAAAACUAAGGAAACAAUUGUACUGCAUUCCUUGUAAGUGUUAGGAGUUGCAUUUGCCUAAGUAAGGCUUGAGUAAGACCUUAAGUACAACUGGAAGAAAACGCUUUCUCCUUUUUG